UCAGUCGACUCCUACGGGGAGGCAGCAGUGGGGGAAUAUUGCACAAUGGGCGCAAGCCUGAUGCAGCCAUGCCGCGUGUAUGAAGAAGGCCUUCGGGUUGUAAAGUACUUUCAGCAGUGAGGAAGGUGGGUAUGUUAAUAGCAUACUCAUUUGACGUUAGCUGCAGAAGAAGCACCGGCUAACUCCGUGCCAGCAGCCGCGGUAAUACGGAGGGUGCGAGCGUUAAUCGGAAUUACUGGGCGUAAAGCGCAUGCAGGUGGUUUGUUAAGUCAGAUGUGAAAGCCCGGGGCUCAACCUCGGAAUUGCAUUUGAAACUGGCAAACUAGAGUACUGUAGAGGGGGGUAGGAAUUUCAGGUGUAGCGGUGAAAUGCGUAGAGAUCUGAAGGAAUACCGGUGGCGAAGGCGGCCCCCUGGACAGAUACUGACACUCAGAUGCGAAAGCGUGGGGAGCAAACAGGAUUAGAUACCCUGGUAG
rnacentral:rRNA from 1 species